GGCUAGCAAAACAUCAACAUCCGGUUGUUUGGUGCGGCUGAAAAGUGCUUCCGGGUCACAACAAGUAGUAUUUCAACUUUAUUCUCGACAGUUCGACUUCAUUCUCGAAGUAGUUGUUCAACUUUAUUCACGACAUAUCGACUUUAUUGUCGAAAUGUAAAAAAAAAAAAAAUACAAAAACCUUCCCCCUCAUUUCUUUCCUUAUGCCUGGUCCUAAUACCACUGUUCCGUGUUGAUGUUAUAUGAAACACUUUACUGUCCUUCACUGACAAAUGUCAAAAUGGUUGCUGUUGAAAAAAGCCAACGCAAUAACUCACCACCAGCCACCCGGAGAAAAGAAACUCGCUCGGUUGCUGAGCGUUAAUCCUGCUCGCGUUCAUUUCGUUUAAAUCUCCGGAGGUUUGUCCGCAAACACGAGGCAGGUGAAUCGAAUCAGUCACUGAUUGGCGCGGCACCGUUAAACAGGCGCGUGUGAAGCGGGAAAGUGGAAGAGCCAUUCCUCAACGAGCCUAGUUACAGUAUCUCGACACGACCCACGCUAAAUAUUGGUAGGAGGCUUUGCUCGUUUGACAGUCCCCCCCCUCCCCCCCAAAAUGACCAAUGACCUAUCCAAAAAGAAAGGGAAAGGUUCGAGUGAGAAAAAGGUGAAAAGAAAAGCCAAGCGGAGAGAGACGUACGCGAUGUACAUCUAUAAGGUUCUGAAGCAGGUUCACCCGGACACGGGGAUCUCCAGCAGGGCCAUGAGCAUCAUGAACUCCUUCGUGAACGACCUGUUCGAGCGCAUCGCCACGGAGGCGUCGCGCCUGGCCCAGUACAACAAGCGCGCCACCAUCACCAGCAGGGAGGUGCAGACCGCCGUGAGGCUGCUGCUGCCCGGCGAGCUGGCGAAGCACGCCGUGUCCGAGGGCACCAAGGCCGUCACCAAGUACACGAGCUCCAAGUGAAGACCUCCCCCGCACGCACGCGCGCGCGCCUCAGUGCGCGAGCUGGUUGAUUUCAAUAAAGCAGGUACUGGUCACACAAGUUGAAGUCGUCCAAAAUAUACCAAAGAUGAAAAUAUGGCACCCACUUUUGUGUCGCCUUAAGUUGAGUGUGAGAGGCCGGACUCAUUUUUAUGUUUGCCUGUCUCACGUGUACAUUAUCUGCCAGUCCUUCAAAUCCAAAAGCCAAGGCAUCUGCACACACCAGCCCUGACAGGUGUGGAUUCAAACAGGUGUGGUGUGAUGUUGACGGGGUAUUGAUAACCAACCUGAGCUCGAUCUCAUGUUAUCUCUUGAAUGUAAUCCUCCUGGUGUAAUGAUUCACAGACCCAGUGAAGAAAGAAAUACUUAAAUAAUUGUUUAAGUAAAAGUCCAGAUGCUAUUUUUUUUUUUUUUUUUUUUUUUUUUUUUUUUUUUUAUUUACAACCACGUGAGUUUUUGUCAUGCUGAAUGAAUAGACUUAGCGGGAUUUGGAAAUGGAGUGAUGGUUGUAAAACGACUGACAGUUCAUGAAAGUUUUUUGGUUUUUUUAUGCUUUUGAAAAAAAGAAGAUGAAGCUCUAACCAAACAUUUAUCUAAUGUAAAAGACAGUAACUGUGAGAGAGGUACUGCAGGUUGUUUGGUAAACUUAUCAUUAAAUUUAAAAAAACACAGUGGACAGUUGUUUUUUUUAACUAAUCUUUUCGACCUCUGAUGCAUUCAAACUCGACAAGAUCCAUUAUUCAGUUAGCUUUGAAAAUUGAAAGAUUUAUAAACUGUCGGGGGAAAUGAUUCAACAUUGUCUCCUUGUUGUGGAUCUUAAUCAGGUUUUUAAAAGACGACAUUGUCAACUGAAUAGUUCUUGAUUACAGGAUAAUGACACCAGCCCAAUCUGCAUAAAGAAACUGAUAAAGGUCUCUCUAAUGAGGACGGUGUUUACA